UUUUUUAUUUUUUCAGCAGUUGGAGGUUUCGUGAUCAGAGCACAGUGAGAGGCAUUGAUCACCCUGACCAUGUUAAUGGAGAGAUGCCAGUACCAGAUAACGAUGCUCAAAAUCUGCUUGCUAGUGAAUAAUCCCUCUUCCAAAAACAAGGUCCCAGGGUAGCGUUAAGAAGGGAUGCUGGAAAGUGGAAGAGCUCGGUUGUGUUCAAGCGCAGCACAACUGAGGCCCCGGGAGACACGUUGGAAGCUGACUUGCAGAUGGUAAACUAGGAACAAAGAGGAGGAACAGCUUCCACCGUUGCCUUCUCACACUUUCUUCUGCCCUGUUACUCAGUGCUCUGCAUGCAGUAAAUACGUGGUGAUUGCUUGUGAUUUUUUUUAUUUGAAGUUAAACGUUCUCAGUUGGAGAAGGUCUGCGCAUCUCCUGGGUCACCAGGCAGCGCAAGAGCAACCGCUGUUUGUUGUGGUGCUCCAAACUGUUGCUGCCCUGUAUUUCGUAUUCUGCUUAAUGCAUCUGUAAGGGAAUUAGCUCGGGUCUCUUGCCUGUCUGCACGCAGCUCGUGCGCAGGUGCCCGAUGGUUCGGUGCCCGUCAGACCUUCAAGCUGUUCUUGCUGACCACGCUCUGGACCACGUUGCCCCCGUCUGCAAGGCUCGUGCCGCUUGGUUUCUUCGCAGCUGCUAGGUCAGCCUGUGGCAGCUGGGCCCCAGGACCCAAAGCCCGCUUUGCCUCCCUGUCUCCAUUCUUCACCAUCGCCUUGCAAGAAUUCAGGACGCUUUUUUUUUUAAUGGUGCCAAAUCCGUGAAAAUAUCCGUGCGUAUUGUUGUGUUGCUGAGUGUACCUGAAUUAGUGCAAUAUAUGCAACCAUUACUGGAGUUCAUGGCUGGGAUCUGAAGCUGGGCAGCCCCGGGUUCUGUAGCAGGAACGCUGAGCUCAGUGACCAGCAGCGCUCCUCAGCCACGGUUUGGCACAGGGUCGCUUUUUGUUCUGCAUUCUGGUUUUUGGAGUGGAUGUUGUCCAGACGCCGGAGCAUCCAGAAAUUUCCCCGUAUGUUAAAGCCACCGCCGCCACUCCUCGGUGACUUCGUUCAUCCCUAGGACAACUGUAGGUCGCUUCCUUCGGAGAGAUGUGAUUCAAAUUAAAUGUUGGCUGAGCUCGGCAAGGGGUUGUUGACAUACCGAGUGUCAACAAAGCUCAAUCAACCGAGCUUGCGGUAAGAAGCCCAGUUAUACUUUGAAAAGGUGAACCCCGGUCUGGGUAAAUAUUUGCCCUGUCUAGUGCUUCGGUGCUUUUUCUAAGUAGCUGCAUGUUUGGCAGAGGGAUUUC
rnacentral:lncRNA from 1 species